AUCCAUCUGAAGAGUCCUAGAUAGGACGAAACGCGGUCCCUAGAU
rnacentral:hammerhead_ribozyme from 1 species